rnacentral:rRNA from 1 species
AAUACGUUCCCGGGCCUUGUACACACCGCCCGUCACACCACGAAAGUCGGCAACACCCGAAGCCGGUGGCCUAACCCUUUUGGGAGGGAGCCGUCGAAGGUAGGGGUUGGUGAUUGGGGUG